AUUGAACGCUGGCGGCAGGCCUAACACAUGCAAGUCGAGCGGAUGAAGGGAGCUUGCUCCUGGAUUCAGAGGCGGACGGGUGUGUAAUGCCUAGGAAUCUGCCUGGUAGUGGGGGAUAACGUCCGGAAACGGGCGCUAAUACCGCCUACGUCCUGCGGGAGCAAGUGGGGGAUCUUCGGACCUCAUGCUCUCAGAUGAGCCUAGGUCGGAUUAGCUAGUUGGUGGGGUAAAGGCCUACCAAGGCGACGAUCCGUAACUGGUCUGACAGGAGGAUCAGUCACACUGGAACUGAGACACGGUCCAGGCUCCUACGGGAGGCAGCAGUGUGGAAUGUGAGGCAAUAGGCGAAAGCCUGAUCCAGCCAGGCCGCGUGUGUUGAGAAGGUCUUCGGAUUGUAAAGCACGUUAAGUUGGGAGGAAGGGCAGUAAGUUGAUACCUUGCUGCAUUGACGUUACCAACAGAAUAAGCACCGGCUAACUUCGUG
rnacentral:rRNA from 1 species